UACGUAGGGUGCGAGCGUUGUCCGGAAUUAUUGGGCGUAAAGAGCUUGUAGGCGGUUUGUCGCGUCUGCUGUGAAAAAUCCGGGGGCUCAACCCCCGGACUUGCAGUGGGUACGGGGCAGACUAGAGUGUGGUAGGGGGAGACUGGAAUUCCUGGUGUAGCGGUGAAAUGCGCAGAUAUCAGGAGGAACACCGAUGGCGA
rnacentral:rRNA from 1 species